UUUUGCGCAUCGAAUCUUUUAUUUUUUGUUUGAUUUGGAAAUUAUGUAUCAUGUUCCAUAAAGUUCAUAUGAUCUUUUGGAAAAUUUUAUGGUACAAGAAUUAGAAAAUGGCGUUUUAUUUAGUAAUCGCAAAAAUUGGAAUGUGUUUUCAUGACCUUUGACCUUGAUUUAACAGAAAAUGCACCGUACGAUUUUUUUACGACCGGGCAAAACAGAAAUUACAGAUUAUCAGCUUUCGAAUGAUAUAUAAUACAGCCGUGUGUUAGGUGGGUGCAUUAAAGUCGUUAACUGAGCGUCUUUUUGAAAUAAGUCACUCGCCGCCUAUUAGCGAAACGAUUGUUAAACUUACACACAUAUACAACUGGUACUGUGCGUAGUAAUCGCCCCUUACCAAACCUUAUCAAAUCGGUUAAGUUAAGGGCCUCCCAGAGUAUGUUCAUGCGGCAGCAAGAAAUUUUGGUAUGUGCGUUUAAGGAAAAAGAAAAGCGAAAAAAUGUCAAAAUGUUGUCUACCCGGU
rnacentral:lncRNA from 1 species